rnacentral:piRNA from 1 species
UCAGAAACAACUGCAGACACUUCCAGACA